UUAGUUUCAGGCUUCAGCUUGACAGCCAAGCUCAGUUAUGGGGUGGGGCUUUUGUUUUCAAGAGGAAUCUCACCUCCCCUCCACUCCAAUUUUAGGCUAAACGACAGAUCCACAAAGCGCCUGGAAGGCAGAUGGGGAGUGGAGAGAGGAUGGAGAGAGUGUUGGUCCCCAAGAUCCACGUGUGACUGAGUCUUGAAGAUCAAAGUCUCUGACUCCCAUGCCCCAUGGGCCUCAGGGCAACACUGCUGCCCACUGGGAGCUGCUGGGCACAUCAGCAGAGCCCCCAUUGUCAUUGUCUUACCACCAGCAGCUUGGGAUCUUGGGCAGCCGCUGAAACUCUUUGGGCCACCAGUGACCUCAUCUGCAGGAAGGAGUAGCGGUAGCUUCACACUGGCUGUUAUAGUGCAUAAAGGGAAGUGAGGCCAAGUCCACUGUGGCUGAACCGAAGAGCCUCACACUGGUGGAAUUCAUGUAUACUGAGUCUGCCACAAGUUACUGACGGAGAUGUUUCAAACUUCAGCGUGCAGAAAGGAGCGCAGGAAAAUAAAAACAAAAACAAAAACAGAGAGAGAGAGAGAGAAAAGAACAAAGAAGUAAAACAACAGCAACUCCAAUUAUUGAGUCCCUGCUGUAUACCAGGCACUGCUGUGCGUGCAGCAGAAACAAAAAAUGAAUCGGACACAUCCCUGCUUCUUGGAGAACUCUCGGUCCAGAGGAGAAGAUGGAUGACAACACAGCAUGCCAUGUGGAGUCCGGGGAGUUGUGUGCCAUGUGCCGUGUCUUUCUGGACAGCCCUUGUGGAGAUGCCUGUGGCUAGGCUCCCCCUGGGGCCAGGCUCCUAUUCCCUAAUCUCAGUGUUCCCAGGAGCACCUCCCACGCUUCUCCUUUUUCCAGAAUUCCUCUCCUCUCACCCGCUGCCCAGCAGGGAUCCUCAUAUUCAGGCCACAAGAUGCUCAGAUCUUCUGAGCUGAUAACUGUGUCUUCAGCUUCCUAUCCACACCAGCCCUCUUCAGACAGACCAUGUAGUCGGAUUGUCUGACCUAUUUCAUCUCCUGCUGCUUCUGUCUUUUUUCUCUGUAGCCCAGAAUCUCCGGUUCAGGCUGCCUGAGCCUCUGAGCUCUUUUCUCCAUACAUCCCAAUCAGUCCUGAGUUUCUCAGCCUCCUGCUGGGAUGCAGAGAAGAUGCCUGGGUAGAGGCAGCAGCACGGUGCUGGAGACAUAGAGCGUUUCCGCCAUCCCUGUGCCACUUGGGUGGUCUUUGGGAAAAGAUCUGGGCAAUGGCCCUUCAGAGAAUUAAACAAAUGCAAACAAUUCAGGGGACAGAAGAUUGGUUUUUUUUGCAGCUUCGUUAGGUGCAAGCUGUUGGUCUGAAGUUCUAAUGUUAUUUUCAUUUUUUUCUCUGUCAUAACCUGUUUUGAGGUAAGAAGAGUUCAUAGAGUUUUUUUUUUUUUUUUUUUUUGACAACUUUUGCACAGAGGCAAAGUUGAUACAAAGGAAGUCAUUCCCUCCUGGUCCCAGAGGAUAGUAACAGUAACACUUUAGCUUGCCUCUAAUUACAGCCACCAUGACAGUUCAUAUGUUGUAGCAAUAAAAAUAACCAUAAACCUUACAUAAUCAUUAAAGUUAAGCAAACAGCCCCUCACUGCAUCAUAAUGUACAGGUAGUUGCUAAUAAUCCAGGAACAGCAUUGGGGCGUUCAAGGAACAUCUUUCCUAUCUCCACAGUUUCUUAAACAACUUUAGAGACAUAUUUUUAUUAAGUAUAUGCAAGGCAGAUGAUCUUAAACCUCAAGAAGAGCGUGCAUAAUAAUUGUGUACUCUUCUAAUGCUCUCCGAAGACCUAUUCAGAGUCCAUUCUGAAAGACAAUAAUAUAUCAAGAAGUUCUGCAAACUUCCUCCUAAUGAAGACAUGCCAAUUUGAGACCAAGAAUGUGGCCUCAAAGGACAAAAUAACCACUGCUCUCAGUCUCUCGGUGUUUUGCUACUUUAUUUCAGAGUGAUUCAAAAUCUAAUUAAAUUUCUAAACUCUAAUGAAAUUACAGAAGAAAAAUCAUUUAGGAUUAUAUUAUGUACAAUUACUCACAGCUGAAAAUUACAGUUACCCUCUUUCACCAGGACAGAAUCUCUUGGGAAAUCCCUCAUUAUUUAUCCACCAUGUAAAUCUGACACUUCUCCCACUAUUUACCGGUUGGAGGUAAAGCCGAAUUAAUUAAACGUAUAUAUCCUGAGCUGCAACUAACAGGUGGGGAGGGAGCUCAAGGAGAGGGAGGAAGCAUGUGGGCUGAGAUUCCCUUAAGUAAGCAUGUCUAGGAUGGGUGGGGACAGACUGACACUGGGCAGAUGCUCAGGAUCUGGAAUCUCUUGCACAUGGGCAGAGAGGCGCAAAGCCUUGGAUGAUGAAUUUAGGUGUGAAUGUGCAUCCCAAGCUUUGCUUGGUUUUGGGAAUCUUAGCUUAGAUAGAAAUAUGGGUUAGAGAAGGUCUUGCCACCAGAAGAUUGCUUAGGGAUCGCGGCCUGGAUUUCUGUACUAAAAGAGUUCAAUGACUUGAUCAAUCCACACUAAUAUAGAUAAUUAGAAUAUUUUGAGUAGUCAGCAGCUGGUUAGUAAUUCCAUGAAAUCCAUCUGUUUGAGGUUUUUCAUCUCCUUGAAUAGAGAGCUUUGAAGGUGUCAUCAUACUUAUAAAUAUCAUAGCACACUGAAACAAGUUUGGCUUUGGGGGACUUGGACUUUCAAAAAUAUAGACAAGAUAAUUCAGACCUUAAUUCUUCCCAUUAGGAAUGCCUAGAAAAAAUAAAUAAAAAUAUAUUUUAAAACAUGUGUUUGAAGGUAGCAGAGAGAUAACAAGGGAGUGAAGAGUUAUGAGAAUAAGCUCAGGAGGUAAAACUGAAAAAUGAACUUGGACUUUUAAAAGUUUUUCUUCUAGAGGCAUCUUUCAAUUCCACAAGAGGUGGCUGAGAAGCUGAGAAGUGAGUAAAGCUGCAAAUAGUUUUGAGGGCUAGAACUCAGAACCUGCCAAGGAAGAGGAACCCUGGUAACCCUCCCAGGUUUGGGUCAGGAUGCAGAAGGACUAAUCCCUAGAAGAAUGGUCAACCAGAAACAAACUGGUCCUUGAAUGGUCUGAAACCCAACUUUAAUUCAUAAUCAUCUCUGAAAUUGGAUUUAGGGGUUGCAGUUUUGCUAGGGAAAUCUAGAAGACUGUCAAAAGCAACAUGAAUCCAUUUGAAGGAAGAUAACAUUGUCCCAGGGUUAAAGUAAUUUUAUAAUUUUUAAUUUACAAUGUCAGAGUCAUUAAAAAAUAAUGACCAGACAUAAAA